GAGAGAGAAAGGGAGAGAGAGAGAGAGAAAGACCUUGCAUGCGCUGGUUCACUGCCCGAAUGAACCAUGGGCUGUGACGGCUGGAGCUGAGCUGAUGGGAAGCCAGGAGCCAGCGUCUUGUGCGUGACUUUAGGUCCAGUUGGUCAAGUACAGCAGAUGGAUUCAGACAGUGACUGAAAGGUAGAAGCGUGUGGAGCGUCUUGGGUGGAGGAUCCAGCAGCAGUUUGCGAGGUGGCCUCUGCAGGAUCAGCCGUGAGCAGUGCGUCCAAUGGAUCCCAUAUGGAUGCCAAUUUGUGUCCCAGCUGCCCUGCUUCCUGUCCAGUUCCCUGCUUGUGGCCUAGGAAAACAGUGCAGGGUGGCCCAAAGCCUUGGGACCCUGCACCUGUGUCGGAGACCAUGAAGAGGCUCCUGGUUCCCAGCUUCGUAUCAGCUCAGCUCUGGUCAUAGCCGCCA